UUACGACCAUACGAAGUUGAAGCUCUAGUUCUCGUAAGAUCACCGAAAUUAAGCAACGUCAAUCCUGAUCAAUACUUAGAUGGGUGACCGCUUGGGAAUACCAGUUGCUGUG